rnacentral:rRNA from 1 species
UACGUAGGGCGCAAGCGUUGUCCGGAAUUAUUGGGCGUAAAGAGCUCGUAGGCGGCCUGUUGCGUCCGCUGUGAAAACCCGGGGCUUAACCCCGGGCUUGCAGUGGAUACGGGCAGGCUGGAGGCAGGCAGGGGAGAACGGAAUUCCCGGUGUAGCGGUGAAAUGCGCAGAUAUCGGGAGGAACACCAAUGGCGAAGGCAGCUCGCUGGGACGUGGACUGACGCUGAGACGCGAAAGCGUGGGGAGCAAACAGG